rnacentral:tRNA from 1 species
GAUUAAAUGGCUGAAGUUUAGGCAAUGAAUUGUAAAUUUAUUUAUAAGGGACCCCUUUUUAAUCA